rnacentral:rRNA from 1 species
GAAGCUGGAUUCGCUAGUAAUCGCGCAUCAGCCACGGCGCGGUGAAUACGUUCCCGGGCCUUGUACACACCGCCCCGUCAAGCCAUGGAAGCCGGGGGUGCCUGAAGUGCGCUGCCGCAAGGAGCGCCCUAGGGGUAAAACCGGUGACUGGGGCUAAGUCGUAACAAGGUAUC